rnacentral:rRNA from 1 species
CAGUCGCCGCGGUAAUACGUAGGUGGCAAGCGUUAUCCGGAAUUACUGGGCGUAAAGGGUGCGUAGGCGGAUUGUUAAGUCAGGGGUGAAAUCCCGAGGCUCAACCUCGGAACUGCCUUUGAUACUGGCGAUCUUGAGUCCGGGAGAGGUGAGUGGAACUGCGAGUGUAGAGGUGAAAUUCGUAGAUAUUCGCAAGAACACCGGUGGCGAAGGCGGCUCACUGGCCCGGAACUGACGCUGAGGAGCGAAAGCGUGGGGAGCGAACAGGAUUAGAUACCCCAGUAGUCCCUGUCUCUUAUAA